AUUGACUGUCAUCUGGAGCAUCAUAAUUUCUCCAUCAUGACUCUCCAGGGAACUGCUAGUGUUUGACUCUGGGAAUCAACAGUUUCAGACUUAUAAUGCUGGAAAUAGACCAGUCUGAAUAAUUUCUGAAAUUUUCCCUCCCUGAUUCUUCAAGCCAUUCUCUUUGCCUCUCUGUAUCAAUGUCCUCUCAAGGGACUGGGCUUGAGGUUUUGAACAGCAAUAGCAUACAGGUCUGACUCAUUUUCCUAUAUGCAGGGCUCAGCAGUUCUAAGCCAGGUGUGAUUGUUGGUGCAAGGGAAUAGCCUUUGAUGAUGAAGAGACAGCAGCCUAGGUGAGGGAGGAAGGGGGAAGCCAUUGUGGGAAAAAACCGCACAUCUGUUUGGCAAGACUUUUCAGAAUUUCGUCCUAAAUUCUUUCCUUAAAUGCUUACAGAGCUCUCAAGCUGACCUUACUUUUGUCUUGGAGCUCAGGCUGAGCUGCUCUGUGAGAGACUCCAGAAUACGAUGGCUUGAACAGUAGAAGAAUUUACUUCCCGACACUGAAGGACUCACCCUUCCCCAGGAGAGGAGGCUGGAUGACUCAUUGGCCCUUGCUGUUCUGAAAGCCGUGGCCCAGAACAGAAGGAAUAGAGAAUUCAGACAUGUGAAUUCAACUUCUACAGUUUAUUGGCAAAACAUUGAACUGACUUCUUUUCGUUCAUUGAAGUAUCUUUUGAUGGCUGUAUCUCCCUUUACGAAGGAAGUUGUGCUGCUCUCCAUAGAAAUAUCAAGAACAUACGGACCCUUCUCUUGAAUUGCCAAAAUCGUCUUACGUGCUCAUCUGCCUCAGCUUAUUCUCUGGGUAUGUCUCCCCACUCCCUGCGGUGUCCUUUUCCAUCCUCCUAUUUUCCUGGUCAUAAAUACUCACUUGGAUGGUACACAUCCUCAGUUUGUUGUUUUAGGGCUCAGUGAUGUUUAGGGAUGUGGCAGUAGUCUUCUCAGGACGAGUGGGGCCAGCCAGAUCCUGCUAGGAAGGAUUUGUACAGGGACGUGACACUGGAGAACUUCAG
rnacentral:lncRNA from 1 species